UACGUAAGGAGCGAACGUUAUCCGGAAUCACUGGGCGUAAAGCGUCUGUAGGUGGUUUAGUAAGUCGACUGUUAAAUCUUGGGGCUCAACCUCAAAAUCGCAUUCGAAACUACUAGACUUGAGUAUAGUAGAGGUAAAGGGAAUUUCCAGUGGAGCGGUGAAAUGCGUAGAUAUUGGAAAGAACACCGAUGGCGAAGGCACUUUACUGGGCUAUUACUGACACUCAGAGACGAAAGCUAGGGUAGCAAAUGGG
rnacentral:rRNA from 1 species